UCCCGCCAAAGAGGUAAACAGCUUUGUGUCGCACAAAUAGGUAAUUCAUUUUUUUAAUGCAUGUUAUUUAAUAAGGUAGUAGCUACGAAGUAUAAUUAUUUGCGAGUAAAAGAACAGAGUGCAUCGUAUGAAUCAGUUAGUGGUUCGGAUUCCAUCGUAAAUUAAAAGAUGGCUAGCAACUCCGCAAAACUCGGGUUUUUCUACUGUAUGCCCACAUUCAUCGUACCAUGGGCCCAAAGUCACGAUACGAAUUCACCCGAUUAAAUGCAUGUUCAUUUUUAUUACUUUAUGUUAGAUUAAAUAAUUAUAACGAUUACUGUAUUACUUACCGAUUUGGCGAUACUGCCUCAUCGAUUCAAUGAUUGCUUCUUUUUUCGAAUAGCUCGAGAACGGGACAUUGCGUUCUUCGGGUGAUCGCGAGUCGACAAGCACGUUUGUCUAUCUGGGCUUCUCGGCUCACCCGUCUCGUCCUCUCGCACCACUCUCCGGCCAUGAGAGUGAAUUGGGCGCCAGGUACGAAGUACCGCCGAUUACUCGACUUUUAAUUUAUCCGCUCUCAACGAUGGUAACGUCAAAUAAUAAUGUACGACACAGAGGGAACGAGAGACACGCGUGACCGAGGACGGUCCGGCUACUCAGCUCAUCUGAGAUACUGAAAGAGCCUCGAUGAUUGCUCCUGCCUCUGCCUCGAAAAUUGAUGUUAGUUUUAUCAUUUUAAAAACACCUCGGAUUUUGAAUUCUGGGAUAUGGAAGGCAAAACCUAUGUACCCUGCUCCCUUCAUUUUUGAGCCAUCUGUGUAGAUAGGUCGAGCAGGACGUUGGUUGGAGUUGACCUGAAACACCCCAGGAUCAGUCGAAGUGCGGCAUAUUGAACCGUUAUCAGCGAUUGGAAACAAGACCGGUCAGCUGAACUCGAGCACGGGAUUGACCAUUCCAGUCUAGCCCGGAUCAAGCCUUUAUAUAUAGUAAGGAGGGUUGUGGGAUGCACUCCCCACGACUUUUGUGUAAGAGAUUUUAUGAUAUUUGUGGCCUUUGUUGCCUUAUUCUUGAUCUCGUUAAUAAAGGA